rnacentral:lncRNA from 1 species
GUAUGGGAAUAGCGAAUAGAAGGGUGGGAGGGAGUUCCGGCUGCUUCCGGCGUUUGCGGAUGCACUGUUUGCCACCCAACCGCCGCAUCUGCAAUUACAUGCAGUAAUGUUAUCCACCCUGCAAUAUUCGCAAUUCUAAUAAAUGCUGUCAGGUCCUUCAUAAUCGCUUUGCAAUUGCUUUUACUGUCGGAACGAAAUACGUUACACUUAUGCUUCGUCAUCAACCAUACCAGUGAGUAACCGGAAUUGUCUAUGUCAUCGUUAGCUUAUGGCUAAUCCCACGCAAGCUGACUUGAAGCUGUCCUGAAAACUAUCGCGAAACGGCUUGAAGCUAAGUUCGCCUGUACAAUCUGUCCUUCAUUUAAAAGGCUAACAGCGGGAUAUAAUAACGGCUGCAAAACUGCUAGUCAGGAGGACGGUUCGUACCGGUACGAGCUGUUGGAAGUUUUCCUCAAAGGGAUCACUCAGCCGUCGUAACCACAGGCUCAUGCAUAAGACUGUUGUGGACAUAAUGCUUUUACCCUCGCGGCUUCGUUGGCGGAAUUUCGUGAGGUUCCCCAACUGCAGGCCUCAUGUCCAUGGACAACACGACAUCCUCAUACCUGUGUCGUUGCAGCACGCUCAUCAGCAAAUAAUUAUGCCACGCUGCUAUAGUGAACAUUACCAUACGGGCGUACCGUCAGGACGUGCCAGGAUACGGUACAGGGCUGAAGUGCGGACGCCAAGAUAAGGUUCGUGUGGCCUUUGCAACGUAUGUGCCACGUCUCGACCUGAGGCUACCCUUUAUUUCAACUCCAACAUGUCUGGGCCUGUUAUGUCCGGAAACAAGGCAGGGACAGAUGGCGGCACGAGGACAAUGCGGGACGUUCUUGCAUGAUUAGCUAUAAGCCAAGAGGAACUAGGCUGGCCACUGACGCCGAAUUCCAGAUAUUCAGGACAGAGAGAAGGAAAGCGGUCAAGCUUGUUGAAUGUAAACGGGGUUAUCUCUUGAGAGCGAAAAAGCUGCACAGUCCA